rnacentral:rRNA from 1 species
UACGUAGGGAGCAAGCGUUGUUCGGAUUUACUGGGCGUAAAGGGCGCGUAGGCGGCGCGGUAAGUCACUUGUGAAAUCUCUGAGCUUAACUCAGAACGGCCAAGUGAUACUGCAGUGCUAGAGUGCAGAAGGGGCAAUCGGAAUUCUUGGUGUAGCGGUGAAAUGCGUAGAUAUCGUCAAGAACACCGAUAGCGAAGGCAGCUUACUAGACUGUAACUGACACUGAGGCACGAAAGUGUGGGGAUCAAACAGGAUUAGAAA